ACGGGUGAGUAACACGUGGGUAACCUGCCCUGAACUCUGGGAUAACUCCGGGAAACCGGGGCUAAUACCGGAUACGACCUGGAGCGGCAUCGCUUCGGGUGGAAAGUUUUUCGGUUCAGGAUGGACCCGCGGCCUAUCAGCUUGUUGGUGGGGUAAUGGCCUACCAAGGCUUUGACGGGUAGCCGGCCUGAGAGGGCGACCGGCCACACUGGGACUGAGACACGGCCCAGACUCCUACGGGAGGCAGCAGUGGGGAAUAUUGCACAAUGGGCGAAAGCCUGAUGCAGCGACGCCGCGUGAGGGAUGACGGCCUUCGGGUUGUAAACCUCUUUCAGCAGGGACGAAGCGCAAGUGACUGUACCUGCAGAAGAAGCACCGGCUAACUACGUGCCAGCAGCCGCGGUAAUACGUAGGGUGCGAGCGUUGUCCGGAUUUAUUGGGCGUAAAGAGCUUGUAGGCGGCUCGUCACGUCGGGUGUGAAAACUCGCGGCUCAACCGCGAGCCUGCACCCGAUACGGGCGGGCUAGAGUUCGGCAGGGGAGACUGGAAUUCCUGGUGUAGCGGUGGAAUGCGCAGA
rnacentral:rRNA from 1 species